rnacentral:lncRNA from 1 species
AAAUAUUAUAACUGAAAGGUGACAACUGCAUUUUCCCUCAUAUGAAGCCCAAUCCCCCUCUGGGACUCUUUGGCAGAGUUGAGAACAUCCACACGGAUAAUCCAAGUAGAAGCGGUCAGUGCACAGCACUAGUCCACCCCAUUAGCUAUGGAGCAACAAUGGUCAUCUCCAGGGUUUCUACACAAGACUCCAGCUCCUGAUGAAUAAGGGAAAAAAUUGUAUCAUUUCUGCUUGGCCUAGGUCUCUGUACCUCCUGAAAAUUUCCAUGGUGUUUGAGUUCUCAUUUUGUGGACUGUAUGGAAUUAAUCAAGCUCUGGCCACUGGUUUAACCACAGACUUGUCUGUACUCUUCUAUGGUUUCCCACAGCAGUGGAGGUGUGCAAUGUCCCUGAUCCAAGGGCUCCUUUCAGGUUGCCUGAAGUCCUUCAAGAUCAAGAAACCGUUUGGAAUUAAGGACACCAAACCUCGUGAGAUAUUUUGUUUUGUUUUUUUAAAACAGAAAAUGAAGGUGGUAAAUCGAAGGCUCAUCUGCAAUGAUGAAGACUAAAACUCCCCCCUGGAGUGAAGCAAGGCUGAGAGACAGAAGAGAGAAUGUCCUGGGUUCCAAUCAGAGAGGAGGACUGUGGUUCAUUGCAGUGGGGCGGACCAAGGGGCUCCCUGGUCCCCUGCUUCCAAGAGCUCCCAUAUCCUGGUAACCAAAUCUCUCCUUCCUUUUAUUUCCAAAAUUCCCCCAAUGGGUUUUCUAUUAUUUGUAGUCAAGAGAAUCCUGACCACAAAUCACAAUACUAAAUAUUUUUGAAAUCCAAAAAGAUAUAAGGAGAGUGUGAGUUUAAUAAUUAUUAACAGCUGGUCUGAGGCUUGAGACUGUGAAAGUAAUAAAGUCAUGAGAGGAUUUCCCUUGAAGUACGUCAGUGCGAGUGGCUCACAUUGUCAUUCAUGCUUUGUCGUCACCCUGUGAGGAUGUGUAUCAUUAGAAGGAUGAGGCUACCACGAAAACAUUUUUUGAAUAAACCAUCUGAAAUCGCCUUCAGCUUCAACAAUGACUUUUCUCCAUAAUAUAAGAAAGGUGAUUGUGCAACACUUAUCGCAGCUCUCACAGCAUUCCUAGGAUAUGGGGAUGUUUUCUCCUAUU